rnacentral:rRNA from 1 species
UAACACGUGGAUAACUUGCCCUUGGGUCCGGCAUAACCCCGGGAAACUGGGGAUAAUUCUGGAUAACGCAUAAAUGCUGGAAUGCUUCAUGCGUAAAAUGGAUUCGUCUGCCCAAGGAUGGGUCUGCGGCCUAUCAGGUAGUAGUGGGUGUAAUGUACCUACUAGCCAACGACGGGUACGGGUUGUGAGAGCAAGAGCCCGGAGAUGGAUUCUGAGACAUGAAUCCAGGCCCUACGGGGCGCAGCAGGCGCGAAAACUUUACAAUGCGGGAAACCGUGAUAAGGGGACACCGAGUGUCAGCGUCAUACGCUGGCUGUCCAGGUGUGUAAAAUACACCUGUUAGCAAGGGCCGGGCAAGACCGGUGCCAGCCGCCGCGGUAAUACCGGCGGCUCGAGUGGUGGCCACUAUUACUGGGCUUAAAGCGUCCGUAGCUGGGUUGUUAAGUCUCUGGGGAAAUCUUCCGGCUUAACCGGAAGGCGUCUCAGGGAUACUGGCAAUCUAGGGAUCGGAAGAGGUGAGGGGUACUCCAGGGGUAGGAGUGAAAUCCUGUAAUCCUUGGGGGACCACCUGUGGCGAAGGCGCCUCACCAGGACGACUCCGACAGUGAGGGACGAAAGCUGGGGGAGCAAACCGGAUUAGAUACCCGGGUAGUCCCAGCUGUAAACGAUGCGCGUUAGGUGUAUCGGUGACCACGAGUUACCGAGGUGCCGAAGGGAAACCGUGAAACGCGCCGCCUGGGAAGUACGGUCGCAAGGCUGAAACUUAA